GUUAGUAUUGUUCCCGUUUUCUAAUUAAUUACAGGUUUAAUGGUGUCUUCUGUUAUUUUCUAUUGAAUUUUAGUAUUCCACGAUGUUAAGCACGAGUUUAUUACUAAUUUUUUUACAUAUCGCAUCCUCGCGGGAAUCACCGAAAAAUAUGAACUGUUUGGAGAAGUCAAAUAUCUCAUGGGAUAUGAUAUCCGCUGAUGUGGUUGUGAGACAUAUACGUAUUGGUCGAAUUCCUAUCGACGAAUAUUGUUUUGGAAUUUGUGAAAAAUUUAAAUCUGGCUUAGACAUUUCAGAUAUUGACAAAAAAAUAUGUGAUUUCACUAUUAACUAAAACUUUUCAAUUUUUUUUCAUCAAUAAAUCUGUCUAGUGUGUUUUGAAAUGUAUAAAA